GACAAGCGGUGGAGUAUGUGGUUUAAUUCGACGCAACGCGCAGAACCUUACCUGGCUUGACAUCUCGGGAAUCAUUUGGAAACAUAUGAGUGCCUCGCAAGAGGAGCCCGAUGACAGGUGCUGCAUGGCUGUCGCCAGCUCGUGUCGUGAGAUGUUGGGUUAAGUCCCGCAACGAGCGCAACCCUUGUCUUAGUUGCCAUCAUUAAGUUGGGCACUCUAAAGAGACUGCCGGUGUCAAACCGGAGGAAGGUGGGAUGACGUCAAGUCCUCAUGGCCUUUAUGACCAGGGCUACACACGUACUACAAUGGCAGGUACAAAGGGCAGCCACUUAGCGAUAAGGCGCGAAUCCCAUAAAACCUGUCUCAGUCCGGAUUGGAGUCUGCAACUCGACUCCAUGAAGUUGGAAUCGCUAGUAAUCGCAGAUCAGCACGCUGCGGUGAAUACGUUCCCGGGCCUU
rnacentral:rRNA from 1 species